rnacentral:rRNA from 1 species
AACCUUUACAAUGCACGAAAGUGUGAUAAGGGAAUCCCAAGUGCCUUGCUUUUAGUAAGGCUUUUGCCAAGUGUAAAAAUCUUGGCGAAUAAGUGGUGGGUAAGACUUGUGCCAGCCGCCGCGGUAACACCAGCGCCACAAGUGGCAACCGCUUUUAUUUGGCCUAAAGCGUCCGUAGCCGGUUCAGUAAAUUUCCUGUGAAAUCGUUAGGCUUAACUUAACGACGUGCAGGAAACACUACUGGACUAGGGACCGGGAGGCGUCAGAGGUAUUCUUGAGGGAGCGGUAAAAUGCUAUAAUCUCAGGAGGACCUCCUGUGGCGAAAGCGUCUGACGAGAACGGAUCCGACGGUGAGGGACGAAAGCUAGGGGAGCAAACCGG